GAUGAACGCUGGCGGCGUGCCUAAUACAUGCAAGUCGAGCGAACAGACGAGGAGCUUGCUCCUCUGACGUUAGCGGCGGACGGGUGAGUAACACGUGGAUAACCUACCUAUAAGACUGGGAUAACUUCGGGAAACCGGAGCUAAUACCGGAUAAUAUAUUGAACCGCAUGGUUCAAUAGUGAAAUACGGUUUUGCUGUCACUUAUAGAUGGAUCCGCGCCGCAUUAGCUAGUUGGUAAGGUAACGGCUUACCAAGGCAACGAUGCGUAGCCGACCUGAGAGGGUGAUCGGCCACACUGGAACUGAGACACGGUCCAGACUCCGACGGGAGGCAGCAGUAGGGAAUCUUCCGCAAUGGGCGAAAGCCUGACGGAGCAACGCCGCGUGAGUGAUGAAGGUCUUCGGAUCGUAAACUCUGUUAUUAGGGAAGAACAAAUGUGUAAGUAACUAUGCACGUCUUGACGGUACCUAAUCAGAAAGCCACGGCUAACUACGUG
rnacentral:rRNA from 1 species